GACGAACGCUGGCGGCGUGCUUAACACAUGCAAGUCGAGCGGUAAGGCCCUUUCGGGGGUACACGAGCGGCGAACGGGUGAGUAACACGUGGGUGACCUGCCCUCAGCUCUGGGAUAAGCCUGGGAAACCGGGUCUAAUACUGGAUAUGACUCCAUGACGCAUGUUGUGGGGUGGAAAGCCUUGUGCGGCUGAGGAUGGGCCCGCGGCCUAUCAGCUUGUUGGUGGGGUGANGGGCCUACCAAGGCGACGACGGGUAGCCGGCCUGAGAGGGCGACCGGCCACACUGGGACUGAGACACGGGCCCAGACUCCUACGGGAGGCAGCAGUGGGGAAUCUUGCGCAAUGGGCGAAAGCCUGACGCAGCGACGCCGCGUGAGGGAUGACGGCCUCGGUGUAAC
rnacentral:rRNA from 1 species